rnacentral:rRNA from 1 species
UACGUAGGGGGCAAGCGUUGUCCGGAAUCAUUGGGCGUAAAGAGCGUGUAGGCGGCUCGAUAAGUCUGCUGUGAAAGUCCAGGGCUCAACCCUGGAAGGCCGGUGGAAACUGUCGGGCUAGAGUCCGGAAGAGGCGAGUGGAAUUCCCGGUGUAGCGGUGAAAUGCGCAGAUAUCGGGAGGAACACCAAUGGCGAAGGCAGCUCGCUGGGACGUACUGACGCUGAGACGCGAAAGCGUGGGAGCAACAGG